rnacentral:rRNA from 1 species
AUUGAACGCUGGCGGCAGGCCUAACACAUGGAAGUCGAAUGGUAACAGGAAACAGCUUGCUGUUUCGCUGACGAGUGGCGGACGGGUGAGUAAUGUCUGGGAAACUGCCUGAUGGAGGGGGAUAACUACUGGAAACGGUAGCUAAUACCGCAUAACGUCGCAAGACCAAAGAGGGGGACCUUCGGGCCUCUUGCCAUCAGAUGUGCCCAGAUGGGAUUAGCUAGUAGGUGGGGUAACGGCUCACCUAGGCGACGAUCCCUAGCUGGUCUGAGAGGAUGACCAGCCACACUGGAACUGAGACACGGUCCAGACUCCUACGGGAGGCAGCAGUGGGGAAUAUUGCACAAUGGGCGCAAGCCUGAUGCAGCCAUGCCGCGUGUAUGAAGAAGGCCUUCGGGUUGUAAAGUACUUUCAGCGGGGAGGAAGGGAGUAAAGUUAAUACCUUUGCUCAUUGACGUUACCCGCAGAAGAAGCACCGGCUAACUCCGUG